UGGAACUUUGAACUUGAGAGAGAUGAUUUAGGGUAUCUGGCAGAAGAAAUUUCUAAGUGGCAAAGUGUUCAAGAAGAAGCAGAAAGCCUAAAGCAGGAUCCUCCCAUGAAGAAAGUAUCCAAAGAGAGGAGAUUUCUUAAAACAAUAACUAUAAGGUAAAAAAUGAAGCCACAGGGAUGCCAAACCCCUUUGCCAUAUUGGAAGUUUUAGCCCUUAACAUUGGAACCCAGCAGUGCUUUUAACCUUGGUCUACAUAAUCUUUCUUCAUGGUUUUGGUGAAAGAGGAAGCCUCAGGCCUCCUUUGAAGCCUGCAAUGUAGUACAAAUAAUAAUCAUCCUAUGGGAGCAUAUAGUAUAGGCAUUAACCAGGUAUUAAGGGUGAUAGAAUUUAUUUAAGCCAUUUUCAAACUUUUUCUGUAUUUUUUAGUCAAUACUAUCAUUUAAAGUAGUGAAUUGGUGAGUUGGACUGAAAAUCAACUUAAAUUCAGUUUUUCUGACCAGUGGCUAUAUUAUACUUAAUUUAGUUCUGAAAGACCAUUAUAUUUAUUUCUUUGUUUUAUUUUCAAAUCAAGUUCCCAUGGUGGUCCCUUUUACUGAAAAAAUAAUCAGAUAAUCAUUUCAGAGCCACUAAAUUGUGCAAACCAGAAACACUACUGAAUUAGUCGGUACUCCACAUUUGCAAGUAGAAGAAACCCAAGUCAGAUUAAUUUAAAUAAGAAAGGAUGCUGCAUUAAUUAACAAUGAAGAAGGGACCUCAAGUGAUGUCACCAGCAAUCAAUCUAUCCUGCUUUCUUUCCCAGUGCUGCUUUUCUUCACUUCGACUUUAUUCUCAGCAAAAGUCCUGGAUGCGCUUCCCAUUGGGGGAAGUUCCCACUGGUUGAUUCAAGCCUCAAGCUCAUCUAGGUCCGGUUGAACUAAAAGCAGGGUAUGAUUUUUAUUUGUGCAAAGAACUGAGGGAUGAAAAGUUUUGCCAGCAGACAUAGAACUGGUCUAAGGAAGUUACUGGCCUAGACUCUGCUCUAGUGGAGAGUCAAGAAAACUUUGCUUUUGAGUUAUUUACAGCUUGUCGCGAUUGAGUAAAGUAUGCUCCUGUGAACAAAUUUGGAUUUCUGUGUCUCAACCUGAUUUCUCUAGAAUGUGGAAACUAUUUUUGGACUGAAUUCUGAAAUUUUUCCUGGUGAAACAGACUGCAGAUUGAAUUCCCACAUAGGCAAUUCCAGAAUUCUUAUGAGACAUGCAUUAGGACAUCAGCAACAGGUGGUGCCAAAAAUAAAAAGCAGAUUAAUUUUAAAUGGGAUGAUUUUAUUGAAUUGUAGACUAAAGAACUACAUAGACCAAUGCGCCAUAUUCUAUCUUGCCUUUUCUUGGCUUCCUUCUAGGAGACUCAUUAUUUUUGGCUACAGAAGAUGGUUGCUUAUACCAGAAAGAAAAUGAGAACUACUAAUAAUACUUCAUUUUUAUUCAUCAAAGAGAAUAAUUACAGAACUGAAGAAGAGAGAGCAAACACGGUAAAAAACAUAGUACAAACAAGAUAAAACAUACUCAAAGCAGAAUAGAUGGAGGCAAGAGUCGUCAAAACUACUAAGAACCCAGAGAGAAAAUAUCAUCCCUUAUCACCAAUGGAGAGAACAACACUGCCGCUUUCUCCCUUUGGGGGUCAACCUGACUACCCAGCCUGAGAUACAAAGGAAUAAUUUAGAAGCUAUGUGGGGACGAUUUUCAUAACUGUUUGGUAAAUUAUUCUUCUGAUAUUUUGUUUGGGGAUGACUGGGAGUCAUGCCUACAUUUCUUUUAAUGGAGCCAUAGUUAUUUUUCUUCAGAUAAUCACAUCUAGUGAAGAAAACUCCUAGAUAGUUCUGUUGCCAUAGAAUAGAUAUUAAAUUUGAUCAGAUGUAAAAGAAGAAUAUGGGGUUCUUAAAAACCUCUUGAGUUUGAAAUGCAGAGUAGAGAUAAAGAUAGUUAAAAGCAGUGUUGGCUGUGUCUCUGUUGACCACAGAGGGUUAUAAAGCAAAGACUAUUGCUAUUGUAAAAAGCAAAUGUAAAAACUAUUGUA